rnacentral:lncRNA from 1 species
GAAUAAUUAAAGAUUACCUCGUCUUUUAGGUACCUUCCUAGUUGAGCGCGAAAUCCUAGGGGCUAACGUCUAAUUCAAUUUUAUUAAAGGCUAGGUAAAUGCAAAAUGAAGUAAUUAAAUUGUUGUGGGCCAAGGAAAGAGCGAUGAAAUCCCUCCCCUUAUCUUCUGAGUGGGUAUUGCCCUUAAGAUUUAUUUAAAAUGAUGCUCCACACAACGAGAUAAUUAAAGCAAUAAACAACUAUGGAUGCUUAAACUACGUGUCCUAAUCUAGAGAAAGAAAGAAAAUUAACGUACCUUUGGGUCCUCCAGCGAUCACCACAAUUAAGGUACGAAAAUUUAAAAACAAAAAUUAAAAAUCUAAAUGAUGUGCCCUAAGUGUAAAAAUGCAUGAUGCACACAUACGUAGUUCUAACUAAUAUUUUUGGAUUUUAAUAUUUUUUAUUUUUUUGUGAUUUUCAAUUUUCAAAUUUGUUUGUGGUUUUCUAAAUAAAAAAAAACGAAAAAUAAGAGUGGAGAGAUACGGGAUACCAAAGCAAGCUUCCAAAUCCGAGCAAAAUUUGUCCACUUUACUCCAUAAUUCCCGAAUAUUCCUCCUCGAAAUAAAGAACAAAAAAUAGUGAGAAAACAAGCUAAUCCGAAAGAUUAAAAAUAAAGGAGCGAAAAAUUAAUUUUAAUCCCCGGCAGCGGCGCCAAAAACUUG